rnacentral:rRNA from 1 species
ACGGGAGGCAGCAGUGGGAAUAUUGGGCAAUGGGCGAAAGCCUGACCCAGCAACGCCGCGUGAAGGAAGAAGGUCUUCGGAUUGUAAACUUCUUUUAUCAGGAACGAAGGAAGUGACGGUACCUGAUGAAUAAGCCACGGCUAACUACGUGCCAGCAGCCGCGGUAAUACGUAGGUGGCAAGCGUUAUCCGGAUUUACUGGGCGUAAAGGGCGCGUAGGCGGGGAUGCAAGUCAGAUGUGAAAUCCAUGGGCUCAACCCAUGAACUGCAUUUGAAACUGUUAUUCUUGAGUAUCGGAGAGGCAAGCGGAAUUCCUAGUGUAGCGGUGAAAUGCGUAGAUAUUAGGAGGAACACCAGUGGCGAAGGCGGCUUGCUGGACGAAAACUGACGCUGAGGCUCGAAAGCGUGGGGAGCAAACAGGAUUAGAUACCCUGGUA